CUUCCUCACUGUUCAAUUUUGGUAUUCAAUGCUACAGCAUCUUUUCAGCCUUACACAAGUUUAGCAAUUUCUUUGUGAUUAUGGAUCAUUAAAAGCAGUGUUCAUUCAUAAAAAAUAAGCACUUAACAUUUUGCAAUCUCUAAAUAUACUUCAGUGAAAUAUACAGCAUCCUUUUUGGCCCCCAAAGACUAUAAAAGCAUCUUCACUCACAGAUAUUUAAAAGAAGGGCUAAAAAUAUUCAAGAAAAUUACAGUGCUUUAAGUGUUAAAAAGUAAAACACAUUUCAGCAUGCAAACGAACAAGAGUUUCACUCCAAAAUGCUUCGCUCCUGUGUCAAGGGACAUAAACACAUGGUGUGAACAAGUGGCAAUGUUUAGGGAAAUACUGCAAAACUAAAUCUUUUCCAUGUAGGCCAAAAUGACUUAUCAGCCAAGCUACUGGAUCAGGCAACUAUUUUUCUAUAUCAUAUUUUUAUGAAUGUGAGGAACUUAUAAACUCAAGGGCAGAACAAAUGCAGACACUAGCACUUAACCUAGGCAAACAGAAACAUGGAAGGAAGCAUCAUGGGAGGUGAAUAGGUUAGGCUUUCUUUCUUCUGUCAUCCCCUUACCAUUUGGAUGUUUCCAUCCUCCAUUCUGAGAAAUUAUGUGUUCCCCUGCAAUGAAGAGAGGUUUCGUCUCCUUUCAGCUAUCACAUUCACCUCGUUCAGAAGGUUUGCUUUGCCCAAAUCCUUUGACAGGGAGUGAGUGAAAUCUCAGCCCCAUUGAAGUCAGUGGGAAAUUUGCCAUUCACUAUAAGGGAGCCAGGAUUUUGCACAACGUUUAUAUCAGUAGAAGACCAGACUGAAUCUAGUGCAGUGUUUGUGAAGUGCUUUGAAGUAGAGAGUGUUACAGCACUGAAAUUAUUGCUAUUAUUAUUAUUGCUGCUUAGUGCACGACAGAGAAGAAAGGAAGAAAACCUCUGAAUGAACUGGAAGGAAAUACUGAUUCUGCAGAUCUUAGAGGUGAGGGACUCCCACUCCAAAAGAAGAAAAAGGAAAAAAGAAGGGACAGUGAUGACAUCCCCUGCUAGAGCCUAAAACAGAAAAUCAUCUAUCCAAUCACAACCCCGGUGAUGCAAUGCAGUCAAAUCAUUUUCACGUAGUUGAG
ensembl:lncRNA